rnacentral:rRNA from 1 species
UCAGGGAGAAGUCUCUUCGGGGAUGAUUAAACCGGCGCACGGGUGAGUAACACGUGAGUGACCUGCCUUUUAGACUGGAACAACUUACCGAAAGGUGAGCUAAUGCCGGAUGAGUUAUAUAAGUGCAUGUUUAUAUAGGAAAAGUUGGGGAGACCUGACGCUGAAAGAUGGACUCGCGUCCCAUUAGCUAGUUGGUAGGGUAAUGGCCUACCAAGGCGACGAUGGGUAGCCGGCCUGAGAGGGUGGCCGGCCACACUGGGACUGAGACACGGCCCAGACUCCUACGGGAGGCAGCAGUGGGGAAUUUUGCGCAAUGCUCGUAAGAGUGACGCAGCGACGCCGCGUGAAUGACGAAGGCCUUCGGGUCGUAAAGUUCUUUCGACAGGGAAGAAAAUGCCUAUAAGUAACUGUGUAUGUAUUGACGGUACCUGUAUAAGCAGCCCCGGCUAACUCCGUGCCAGCAGCCGCGGUAAUACGGAGGGGGCGAGCGUUGUUCGGAGUGACUGGGCGUAAAGAGCACGUAGGCGGUGUUGUAAGUCAUUAGUCAAAGACUAGAGCUCAACUUUAGUAAGGCUAGUGAUACUAUAAUACUAGAGUAUCAGAGAGGAUUGCAGAAUUCCUGGUGUAGCGGUGAAAUGCGUAGAUAUCAGGAGGAAUACCGUUAGCGAAGGCGGCAAUCUGGCUGGAAACUGACGCUGAGGUGCGAAAGCGUAGGUAGCAAACAGGAUUAGAUACCCUGGUAGUCCACGCUGUAAACGAUGGAUGCUANGUGUUGGGCUUU